AAUAAGUGCAGUUUUGCACUGUUCAUGUUCAACGUUUAACCGUCCGUCUUAUUUGAAAAUUUUUUAUGAUUAUUAUUUUUAUUGCUAUUAGAUGAUAAAACAUGAAUAGUACUUUAUGUGUGACUAAAUAUUUUUAAUUUUUUCACAAAUUUUUUAAAUAAGACGGACGGUCAAACGUUGAACGUGAAUAGUGCAAAACUGCACUUAUU
rnacentral:pre_miRNA from 1 species